rfam:Paenibacillus sp. FSL R5-0912, complete genome.
UGGUUGGUGCAAGCCCAACCCAAGGAGGGGCCAAGCCACCUUGGUAGCCAGGAUGCUUGCACAUGGCGAAAUCUGUGUGUAAAAGUGCAUCGACAAAAGUACCUGUCAGAGACAGGGCGAGCGACAAUCCAGGCUGCAACAUGA